UGAGUACGAGAUGCUACGGCAUCGAAGCAGUCUAUGUCAUACUUCCAAGAAAAGCUUGCACUGUCAGAAACAGAUAAUGCCUGUACCAUAACCGACACAGGUGGGUAGGUAGAGUAUACUAAGGGGCGCGAGAUAACUCUCUCUAAGGAACUCGGCAAAAUGACUCCGUAACUUCGGGAGAAGGAGUGCCUUAUUUUUAAGGUUGCAAUAACAAGAUCCAAGCAACUGUUUACCAAAAACACAGGUCUCCGCUAAGUCGUAAGACGAUGUAUGGGGGCUGACGCCUGCCCAGUGCCAGAAGGUUAAAGAAGUCGGUUAGCAUUCGCGAAGCUGGUAACUGAAGCCCUGGUGAACGGCGGCCGUAACUAUAACGGUCCUAAGGUAGCGAAAUUCCUUGUCGGGUAAGUUCCGACCCGCACGAAAGGCGUAAUGAUUUGGAUACUGUCUCGGAGAGGGGCUCGGUGAAAUAGACUUGUCUGUGAAGAUGCGGACUACCUGCACCUGGACAGAAAGACCCUAUGAAGCUUUACUGUAACUUGAAAUUGAAAUUGGACUUUAUUUGCGCAGUAUAGGUGGGAGGCGUUGAAAAUAUUCUUGCGGGAAUAUUGGAGCCAUCAGUGAGAUACCACUCUUGUAAUGUUAGAUUUCUAACUUUAUAUCAUUAUCUGGUUAAAGAACAGUUUCAGGCGGGCAGUUUGACUGGGGCGGUCGCCUCCCAAAUGGUAACGGAGGCGCACAAAGGUUUCCUCUGAACGGGUAGAAAUCGUAUCUAGAGUGUAAAGGCAUAAGGAAGCUUGACUGUGAGACCUACAAGUCGAGCAGGGACGAAAGUCGGUCUUAGUGAUCUGACGGUGCUGAGUGGAAAGGCCGUCACUCAACGGAUAAAAGUUACUCUAGGAUAACAGGCUGAUCUCCCCCAAGAGUUCACAUCGACGGGGAGGUUUGGCACCUCGAUGUCGGCUCAUCGCAUCCUGGGGCGGUAGUACGUCCCAAGGGUUGGGCUGUUCGCCCAUGAAAGCGGUACGCGAGCUGGGUUCAGAACGUCGUGAGACAGUUCGGUCCAUAUCCGGUGUAGGCGUUAGAAUAUUGAGAGGAGCCUUCUUUAGUACGAGAGGACCGAGAAGGACAUACCUCUGGUGUACCAGUUAUCGUCCAACGGUAAACGCUGGGUAGCUAUGUAUGGAGUGGAUAACCGCUGAAAGCAUCUAAGUGGGAAGCCCACCUCAAGAUAAGUAUUCUCAC
rnacentral:rRNA from 1 species